AACGAACGCUGGCGGCAUGCCUAACACAUGCAAGUCGAACGAGACCUUCGGGUCUAGUGGCGCACGGGUGCGUAACGCGUGGGAACCUGCCCUUAGGUUCGGAAUAACUCCCCGAAAGGGGUGCUAAUACCGGAUAAUGUCUUCGGACCAAAGAUUUAUCGCCUUUGGAUGGGCCCGCGUUGGAUUAGCUAGUUGGUAGGGUAAAAGCCUACCAAGGCGACGAUCCAUAGCUGGUCUGAGAGGAUGAUCAGCCACACUGGGACUGAGACACGGCCCAGACUCCUACGGGAGGCAGCAGUGGGGAAGAUUGGACAAUGGGCGAAAGCCUGAUCCAGCAAUGCCGCGUGAGUGAUGAAGGCCUUAGGGUUGUAAAGCUCUUUUACCCGGGAUGAUAAUGACAGUACCGGGAGAAUAAGCCCCGGCUAACUCCGUG
rnacentral:rRNA from 1 species